AGAAGUACUGCACAGUGACAGACCAUAUAAUGAGGUGAUUGUGGAUGAAGAGCUCAACUCAAUCCAAUAUAAUUUUUAGCUGGAGAAGCUGAAUUUCCCAAGUGCCCACAGCAGCCCAUAGACAUAGAAGUUGGAUUAGAGAUAAAAGUUGCAGAGAAUGAUUUGAUUAGAGAUAAGAGCUGCGAUAAGAGCUAGAGCUUUUCAUGUCGAAACAGCAGGCACCAACCUAAAGUUCAGUUCUGAAGAAGGUGGGAUCAGCUUGGUUUUUGGACUUGAUCCUUUUUUUUGGAGAACAAGUACAUGAAAGAUGUUAUCGGAAAGGCUCAACAGAAAUAUUCCAGCACUUGAAGGAAAAUUUGAUGACAUUGUAGCUAUUUUUGUUGUAUGGUUCAUGGAGACAAACAGCGAUAUGUCUCUUUUUGUUGAAUGUAAAUAGCAAAUGCGGCCUUUUUGUGUUAUGGCUUAUGUAAAUCAUUAAACUUGAAAUGCUAUGGUAGCCUUUUAUUUACCAU